rnacentral:rRNA from 1 species
AAGGAUUCUUUUGUCAGUUGUAGAAUCACUGGUGAAUAAGGGGUGGGCAAGUUCUGGUGUCAGCCGCCGCGGUAAACCAGCACCUCGAGUGGUCAGGAGGUUUAUUGGGCCUAAAGCAUCCGUAGCCGNGUUGCAUAAAGUUUUCGNGUUAAAUCUAUGCGCUUAACGUAUAGGCCGCCCGAAAAUUACUGUGCAGCUAGGGAAUUGGAAAAGUAACACGGUACUCGAUAGGAAGGGGUAAAAUCCUUUGAUCUAUUGAAGACCACCUGUGGCGAAGGCGGUGUACCAGAACACGUUCGACGGUGAGGGAUGAAAGCUGGNGGGAGCAAACCGNGAUUAGAUACCCGGGUAGUCCCAGCUGUAAACGAUGCAGACUCGGUGAUGCAUUGGCUUGUGGCCAAUGCAGUGCCGCCAGGGAAGCCGUNUAAGUCUGCCGCCUGGGAAGUACGUACGCAAGUUUAUGAAACUUAAAGGAAUUGGCGGGGGAGCACCANC